rnacentral:rRNA from 1 species
AUUGAACGCUGGCGGCAGGCCUAACACAUGCAAGUCGAACGGUAACAGGAAGAAGCUUGCUUCUUUGCUGACGAGUGGCGGACGGGUGAGUAAUGUCUGGGAAACUGCCUGAUGGAGGGGGAUAACUACUGGAAACGGUAGCUAAUACCGCAUAACGUCGCAAGACCAAAGAGGGGGACCUUCGGGCCUCUUGCCAUCGGAUGUGCCCAGAUGGGAUUAGCUAGUAGGUGGGGUAACGGCUCACCUAGGCGACGAUCCCUAGCUGGUCUGAGAGGAUGACCAGCCACACUGGAACUGAGACACGGUCCAGACUCCUACGGGAGGCAGCAGUGGGGAAUAUUGCACAAUGGGCGAAAGCCUGAUGCAGCCAUGCCGCGUGUAUGAAGAAGGACUUCGGGUUGUAAAGUACUUUAAGCGGGGAGGAAGGGAGUAAAGUUAAUACCUGUGCUCAUUGACGUUACCAGAAGAAGAAGCACCGGCUAACUCCGUG